GGAUUGGUCACUCCCCGAAGUGGAGGGGGGGCAUGGCCCCUCCCUAGGACAGGAUUGGUCUAAUUCAAGACCAAUUCCAUGUCAGGAAGUAGGGCAUGGUCCCUCCCCAGCACAGGAUUGGUCCACUCAAGACCAAUCCCACACCAGGAAAUAGGAAGGCGGGACCCCCUAGGUUACCCUGCUGGAUGCAGUUCCCCCAACUCCAAUAUUUUAAAACCCACAAAAAGGAGGCGGAGAUGUUUAUAAAUGACUUUCCCAGGGCCACAAAGCUAAUCAGUUUGUGGGGCAAGAUAUGAACCCAGGUCUUCCUUAUUCCAAGCCCAUUGAUCUUGUCCCCUGAGUCUGAAGCACCAGAUUUCUUCAUGGAAAAGAGGACUAAGGGAAAAAAAAAUUCUGGCUAUCUGUUAUGGCCCUGGAGACCACCAUCCAUAAUCUGGCCCCAUUCCACUCCUCUGACUUAUCAUUUCUGUAGUUCAUUUCUUAGAGAAAAAAUGACUAUUGAUCCAGUUGACCUGUUGCUAUUCCUCUGUACAAGCCGAAUGUCUCAUUCCAAGGAGAGACAACACAUUGUGGCCAUCUCCACAGCACUGAAGACCUUCGGGUAUCACCCAUAUGCUGCCCAAUGUGAUGGAUACUUCCUUUGAUCUUCAUCCAGCUUUAAUCCCAUGCCUCUAUGACACACCUCUGGCAGCAUGGACCAUGUGUUUUUGGAGACCAUUUCCUGAACAGGGGAUGGCAAAGCUUUACAUUAUUUGUAAUGUGCUGAGAUGUGGGACCCUGGCACACAGCUGUGGAGUGGGAUAUAUGCCAAGUUAGGCAUUUAUUUUGGAAAUGGUUUUGUAUUUUCCUUGGCCUUCUACUUUUGGAAUAACUUCUUUGAAAAAGAACUUUUAAUUUUGCAUUGCUUUAAAUCCAGGGAUCUGGACUAUAUCGAUAAUGGAUUUUUUACAUGAACCAUUCAUUGCUUUUGUGGUAAACAUUCAUCUCAGUAGAGAAAUGAAAACCUACCAGCAAUAAAUUCUCCAAUUCAACACA
rnacentral:lncRNA from 1 species